rnacentral:pre_miRNA from 13 species
UCCCACCCUCUUUGGCAAUGGUAGAACUCACACUGGUGAGGUAUGGGAUCCGGUGGUUCUAGACUUGCCAACUAUGGUGUGUGG